rnacentral:rRNA from 1 species
UACGUAGGGUGCAAGCGUUGCCCGGAUUUAUUGGGCGUAAAGGGCGCGUAGGCGGCUCGGCACGUCCGUUGUGAAAUCGCCCGGCUCAACUGGGCGGGGUCAGCGGAUACGGCCGAGCUUGAGCAAGCUAGGGGGCAAUGGAAUUCCCGGUGUAGUGGUGGAAUGCGUAGAUAUCGGGAGGAACACCAGUGGCGAAGGCGAGUCCCUGGACAACACCUGACACUGAGGCACGAAAGCUAGGGGAGCAA